rnacentral:rRNA from 1 species
UACGAAGGGGGCUAGCGUUGCUCGGAAUCACUGGGCGUAAAGCGCACGUAGGCGGAUUGUUAAGUCAGGGGUGAAAUCCUGGAGCUCAACUCCAGAACUGCCUUUGAUACUGAAGAUCUUGAGUUCGGGAGGGGUGAGUGGAACUGCGAGUGUAGAGGUGAAAUUCGUAGAUAUUCGCAAGAACACCAGUGGCGAAGGCGGCUCACUGGCCCGAUACUGACGCUGAGGCACGAAAGCGUGGGGAGCAAACAGGGA